rnacentral:rRNA from 1 species
AGAACGAACGCUGGCGGCAUGCCUAAUACAUGCAAGUCGAACGAACACUUCGGUGUUAGUGGCGCACGGGUGCGUAACGCGUGGGAAUCUGCCCUUGGGUUCGGAAUAACAGUUGGAAACGACUGCUAAUACCGGAUGAUAUCGAAAGAUCAAAGAUUUAUCGCCCAGGGAUGAGCCCGCGUAGGAUUAGCUAGUUGGUGGAAGGUAAGCUCACGAGGCGACGUAC